UACGUAGGUGACAAGCGUUGUCCGGAUUUACUGGGCAUAAAGAGCGCGCAGGCGGUCGUUCAAGUCGAGUGUGAAAGCCCCCGGCUCAACUGGGGAGGGUCACGCGAUACUGAUCGACUCGAAGGCAGGAGAGGGUAGUGGAAUUCCCGGUGUAGUGGUGAAAUGCGUAGAUAUCGGGAGGAACACCAGUGGCGAAGGCGACUACCUGGCCUGUUCUUGACGCUGAGGCGCGAAAGCUAGGGGAGCAAACGGG
rnacentral:rRNA from 1 species